AAGAAUUGUGUCUGGACAUCUG
rnacentral:miRNA from 1 species